rnacentral:rRNA from 1 species
GACGAACGCUGGCGGCGUGCUUAACACAUGCAAGUCGAACGGAAAGGCCCUGCUUCUGUGGGGUGCUCGAGUGGCGAACGGGUGAGUAACACGUGAGUAACCUGCCCUUGACUUUGGGAUAACUUCAGGAAACUGGGGCUAAUACCGGAUAGGAGCUCCUGCUGCAUGGUGAGGGUUGGAAAGUUUCGGCGGUUGGGGAUGGACUCGCGGCUUAUCAGCUUGUUGGUGGGGUAGUGGCUUACCAAGGCUUUGACGGGUAGCCGGCCUGAGAGGGUGACCGGCCACAUUGGGACUGAGAUACGGCCCAGACUCCUACGGGAGGCAGCAGUGGGGAAUAUUGCACAAUGGGCGGAAGCCUGAUGCAGCAACGCCGCGUGCGGGAUGACGGCCUUCGGGUUGUAAACCGCUUUCGCCUGUGACGAAGCGUGAGUGACGGUAAUGGGUAAAGAAGCACCGGCUAACUACGUG